GACGAACGCUGGCGGCGUGCCUAAUACAUGCAAGUUGAGCGCUGAAGGUUGGUACUUGUACCAACUGGAUGAGCAGCGAACGGGUGAGUAACGCGUGGGGAAUCUGCCUUUGAGCGGGGGACAACAUUUGGAAACGAAUGCUAAUACCGCAUAAAAACUUUAAACACAAGUUUUAAGUUUGAAAGAUGCAAUUGCAUCACUCAAAGAUGAUCCCGCGUUGUAUUAGCUAGUUGGUGAGGUAAAGGCUCACCAAGGCGAUGAUACAUAGCCGACCUGAGAGGGUGAUCGGCCACAUUGGGACUGAGACACGGCCCAAACUCCUACGGGAGGCAGCAGUAGGGAAUCUUCGGCAAUGGACGAAAGUCUGACCGAGCAACGCCGCGUGAGUGAAGAAGGUUUUCGGAUCGGAAAACUCUGGUGGUAGAGAAGAACGUUGGUGAGAGUGGAAAGCUCAUCAAGUGACGGUAACUACCCAGAAAGGGACGGCUAACUACGUG
rnacentral:rRNA from 1 species